rnacentral:rRNA from 1 species
GACGAACGCUGGCGGCGUGCCUAAUACAUGCAAGUCGAACGAGAGCAACCGGUGCUUGCACUGGUCAAUCUAGUGGCGAACGGGUGAGUAACACGUGGGUAACCUGCCCAUCAGAGGGGGAUAACAUCCGGAAACGGAUGCUAAAACCGCAUAGGUCUUCGAACCGCAUGGUUUGAAGAGGAAAAGAGGCGCAAGCUUCUGCUGAUGGAUGGACCCGCGGUGCAUUAGCUAGUUGGUGAGGUAACGGCUCACCAAGGCCGUGAUGCAUAGCCGACCUGAGAGGGUGAUCGGCCACAUUGGGACUGAGACACGGCCCAAACUCCUACGGGAGGCAGCAGUAGGGAAUCUUCCGCAAUGGACGCAAGUCUGACGGAGCAACGCCGCGUGAGUGAAGAAGGUUUUCGGAUCGUAAAACUCUGUUGUUAGAGAAGAACAAGUGCUAGAGUAACUGUUAGCGCCUUGACGGUAGCUAACCAGAAAGCCACGGCUAACUACGUG